CGUCUUUUGUAAUUCCCGCAUAAAAGAUAUGCCUGCCCAGUGAAAAAUCUUUAAACGGCCGCGUUAGCGUGAGCGUGCUAAGGUAGCGUAAUAAAUAGCCUUUUAAUUGGAGGCCAGUGAAUGGCAAGACUAGGGACACCUAUACCCUGUGUGACAAAAAAACUUUUCAUCUAAGUGAAAAGACUUAGAUAACAAAGAAAGACGAAAAGACCCCGCGGAACUUUACCUUUUCCAAUCUUCACGUGCUUAGGAACACAAAAAUGAAAGGUUUGAUUGGGGCAAUCUUGGAACCAAACAAACUUCCAAUUUCACCAUACAUAAUAAUACAAAACUCAAUAAGGACCUAAAAGAAGUUACCCCGGGGAUAACAGCGUAAUCCAGCUUGAGAGUACGCAUCGAAAGCUGGGUUUGCGAACUCGAUGUUGGCUUAAGGACAUCCACAUAAGUGCAACCGCCAUGACAGGAUAGUCUGGUCGACUAUUAUACCCUU
rnacentral:rRNA from 1 species